rnacentral:misc_RNA from 1 species
ACAAACUUGGUCAUUUAGAGGAAGUAAAAGUCAUAACAAGGUUUCCGUAGGUGAACCUGCGGAAGGAUCAUUAGUGAUUGGCCGAAAGGCCUUUUUCCAUCCUCACACCUGUGCACCGUGGGCUUUUGCCCUUACAAACGUGGUGUUAUUGAACGUAUGCAUGUUAAUGAACAAAACUUUCAACAACGGAUCUCUUGGCUCUCUCAGAUGUGUAUAAGAGACAGACAAACUUGGUCAUUUAGAGGAAGUAAAAGUCAUAACAAGGUUUCCGUAGGUGAACCUGCGGAAGGAUCAUUAGUGAUUGGCCGAAAGGCCUUUUUCCAUCCUCACACCUGUGCACCGUGGGCUUUUGCCCUUACAAACGUGGUGUUAUUGAACGUAUGCAUGUUAAUGAACAAAACUUUCAACAACGGAUCUCUUGGCUCUCGCAUCGAUGAAGAACGCAGC